CAGAUUUUUAGUGUAUGCGCCAGAACUGGCCCAGAUGAGGAAAUAGUAUACCAGUAGUAAACACUAUUUAUAGCUGUUGGCCCGAGUGUAAGCAUACUCAGCUGAAGUCCGGGUCUACUAAAGUAGUGUCUCAGUGUAAUCGGGCCGAAUCUGGCAUUGUGUAGUCGGACCGACUACAUUGCAUUGUGCCUGGACCGAUUAUGGUUUGAUAUGAUACUGCCAAGAUGUGUAUGAUGUCAGAAAUUCAGUAUGUGGCCCGAUGCCAGUGCAACUGACACAUGCCGGUUGUAACGCUGUUUGGCGGCAAUUUUAAAAUGUUUAUGCUUCAGACAGACAGUAUACAGUACACGGCCCGAUUCCGUGAUGUGGCAAUCAGCCCUCUAGCUGUUGAACGGCAACAUCACGACUGCUGUUAUGAUUUGAAUCAAGCAGAGCACAAAGCUGAGCUCCAGUUCGACACAGACACCAUCAUCAGUAACUGGUUAACUGGUUGGGGCUUAUUGGCGGGACCGACAACUCCCUGGCUUAAAACCUCAACUGGAUGGAAAAGACUUUAUUUGCCACCCUCCAACUCAGAGAGGUAGUGAUUGAUGCAGUUCGGAGAAGGUCCCUUACAGUUGUGGAGGGGACAAUGAAGAGGUGGCUCGAUCGAGAGGGUGGAUGCAAGAGACAACUUUAGCAAAAGAAAAGCAGUUAGUGUUAGCGCCUGUGUUUGUGUCUGCAAAGGAGAAUGUUUUGUUCUGUAAAAAGAGUGGUGGUGUUUUGGUUAAAUGUGUUUAACUUGUUUGUGUGUGAGAGGUGUGUGUGCGGGUGGGUUGGUAUAUGUGGUUUAUGGGGAAUAGUGUAUAAUGACAUGUUUAAUAUGCUAUAAACAUGCUUUACAGGGACACAAUACUAAGUGAUACUUUUUCAUAGAUUAAAGACUUCCAACAGAUUUUUGUUAUGGUUGGGCUUAGGGACUGGGGUAAGUUAAGGCAAUAGAAUAUACAGUUUGUACAGUAUAAAAUGCAUUGUGUCUAUGAAAUUGUCCCGGUAAACCACAUAUGCCGACGUGUGUGUGUGGUGUGUGUGUGUGAGAGAGAGA